UNUGACUUGAGUGCAGAAGGGGAGAGUGGAAUUCCAUGUGUAGCGGUGAAAUGCGUAGAUAUAUGGAGGAACACCAGUGGCGAAAGCGGCUCUCUGGUCUGUCACUGACGCUGAGGCUCGAAAGCGUGGGUAGCGAACAGGAUUAGAUACCCUGGUAGUCCACGCCGUAAACGAUGAGUGCUAGGUGUUAGGCCCUUUCCGGGGCUUAGUGCCGGAGCUAACGCAAUAAGCACUCCGCCUGGGGAGUACGACCGCAAGGUUGAAACUCAAAGGAAUUGACGGGGGCCCGCACAAGCGGUGGAGCAUGUGGUUUAAUUCGAAGCAACGCGAAGAACCUUACCAGGUCUUGACAUCCCGAUGCUAUUCUUAGAGAUAGGAAGUUACUUCGGUACAUCGGAGACAGGUGGUGCAUGGUUGUCGUCAGCUCGUGUCGUGAGAUGUUGGGUUAAGUCCCGCAACGAGCGCAACCCUUAUUGUUAGUUGCCAUCAUUAAGUUGGGCACUCUAGCGAGACUGCCGGUAAUAAACCGGAGGAAGGUGGGGAUGACGUCAAAUCAUCAUGCCCCUUAUGACCUGGGCUACACACGUGCUACAAUGGUCGGUACAACGAGUUGCGAGCCGGUGACGGCAAGCUAAUCUCUGAAAGCCGAUCUCAGUUCGGAUUGGAGGCUGCAACUCGCCUCCAUGAAGUCGGAAUCGCUAGUAAUCGCGGAUCAGCACGCCGCGGUGAAUACGUUCCCGGGCCUUGUACACACCGCCCGUCACACCACGAGAGUUUGUAACACCCGAAGUCGGUGAGGUAACCUUUUAGGGGCCAGC
rnacentral:rRNA from 1 species